rnacentral:rRNA from 1 species
GACGAACGCUGGCGGCGUGCCUAAUACAUGCAAGUCGAGCGCAGGAAGCCGUCUGAACCCUUCGGGGGGACGACGGCGGAAUGAGCGGCGGACGGGUGAGUAACACGUAAAGAACCUGCCCAUAGGUCUGGGAUAACCACGAGAAAUCGGGGCUAAUACCGGAUGUGUCAUCGGACCGCAUGGUCCGCUGAUGAAAGGCGCUCCGGCGUCGCCCACGGAUGGCUUUGCGGUGCAUUAGCUAGUUGGUGGGGUAACGGCCCACCAAGGCGACGAUGCAUAGCCGACCUGAGAGGGUGAUCGGCCACACUGGGACUGAGACACGGCCCAGACUCCUACGGGAGGCAGCAGUAGGGAAUCUUCCACAAUGGACGAAAGUCUGAUGGAGCAACGCCGCGUGAACGAUGAAGGCUUUCGGGUCGUAAAGUUCUGUUGUAAGGGAAGAACAAGUGCCGCAGGCAAUGGCGGCACCUUGACGGUACCUUGCGAGAAAGCCACGGCUAACUACGUGCCAGCCGCCGCGGUAA